UAGCAGUAUUUAGGGACGGAGGGAGUAUAUGCUUGUCAAGAAUUUAUUUAGUACAGAACAAGAAUAGACAAUAGAUAAUAAUCUUGCAUUGUAUUCCAUAUUGCUGCUCUCACACUAAUAAUUAACACUUAACAUUCACUAAAAAAUAAUAAGUUACUAGCCAAUAAAUAAUAGCAUCUAGCGAAUUUCUUAAUUUAAAAAUUAGAACGUUAAACAACCACAUCAUAAAAUAAAAUUCCUCAGCUAACAAUUAUUUUUAAAAUUCUAAAUUCUUUAGUCAUCGAAGAGAAACCUUCGGAUAUCCUAUUUUAAACAUCGGAUAAUCCGCAUAAAAUUUAUGGAUAAUCCAUAUCCGCCGGAUUUUACCUAUUCCAUAUCCUACCCAGUAUCCGCAGACAAUCGGAUUCGGAUUAUCCGUAUCCGCAUAGAUGUUAAAAAUUCUUCUAAAUAUUCUCAAAAUUCGGUUUCGGAUCGGUUUGGAGAAUUAUCCACACCACUUUCACCCCUAAUUCUUCGUCACAUCGAAUCUUGUGGCACAUAACACUAAAUAUAGAUAAAAAAAUAGCUAAUUACACAAUUUAUCUGUAAUUUGCGAGACGAAUCUGUUGAACCUAAUUAGUCUAUGAUUGAAUAUUAUUUAUCAAAUACAAACGAAAAUGCUACAGUUUCUAUUUUGAAAAAAAAAUAAAAGUAAACAAUGCCUC
rnacentral:lncRNA from 1 species